GUGGGGAAUAUUGGACAAUGGGCGCAAGCCUGAUCCAGCCAUGCCGCGUGUGUGAAGAAGGCCUUCGGGUUGUAAAGCACUUUUGUCCGGGAAGAAAUCUUCCAGGUUAAUACCCUGGGAGGCUGACGGUACCGGAAGAAUAAGCACCGGCUAACUUCGUGCCAGCAGCCGCGGUAAUACGAAGGGUGCAAGCGUUACUCGGAAUUACUGGGCGUAAAGCGUGCGUAGGUGGUUCGUUAAGUCUGCCGUGAAAGCCCCGGGCUCAACCUGGGAAUGGCGGUGGAUACUGGCGGGCUAGAGUGCGGUAGAGGGUGGUGGAAUUCCCGGUGUAGCAGUGAAAUGCGUAGAGAUCGGGAGGAACAUCUGUGGCGAAGGCGGCCACCUGGACCAGCACUGACACUGAGGCACGAAAGCGUGGGGAGCAAACAGGAUUAGAAACCCCUGUAGUCC
rnacentral:rRNA from 1 species